rnacentral:rRNA from 1 species
CGAGAAACGGUCUAGCUUGCUAGAUGCAGUCUAAGUGGCGCACGGGUGAGUAAUGUAUAGCUAAUGUGCCCCUUGGAGGGGGAUAACAGUUGGAAACGGCUGCUAAUACCCCAUACUCCUUCAUUCUUAAUGAGUGAAGGGAAAGUUUUUUCGCCAAGGGAUCAGGCUAUAUGGUAUCAGCUAGUUGGUGAGGUAACGGCUCACCAAGGCAAUGACGCCUAACUGGUCUGAGAGGAUGAUCAGUCACACUGGAACUGAGACACGGUCCAGACUCCUACGGGAGGCAGCAGUGGGGAAUAUUGCACAAUGGAGGAAACUCUGAUGCAGCAACGCCGCGUGGAGGAUGACGCAUUUCGGUGUGUAAACUCCUUUUAUAUA